CCUACGGGUGGCAGCAGUGGGGAAUAUUGGACAAUGGGGGGAACCCUGAUCCAGCGACGCCGCGUGAGUGAAGAAGUAUUUCGGUAUGUAAAGCUCUAUCAGCAGGGAAGAAAGAAAUGACGGUACCUGACUAAGAAGCCCCGGCUAACUACGUGCCAGCAGCCGCGGUAAUACGUAGGGGGCAAGCGUUAUCCGGAUUUACUGGGUGUAAAGGGAGCGUAGACGGCGAUGCAAGUCUGAAGUGAAAGGCGGGGGCCCAACCCCUGGACUGCUUUGGAAACUGUAUGGCUGGAGUGCGGGAGAGGUAAGUGGAAUUCCUAGUGUAGCGGUGAAAUGCGUAGAUAUUAGGAGGAACACCAGUGGCGAAGGCGGCUUACUGGACUGUAACUGACGUUGAGGCUCGAAAGCGUGGGGAGCAAACAGGAUUAGAUACCCCAGUAGUC
rnacentral:rRNA from 1 species